CGGCACCGUAGGUGAGGCCGGCGGCGUGGGCCCUUGCUCUGCACGGAGCCGGCGCUUUGGCAGUUCCUUUUAAGGAAAGGUGGUAGUUAAGACUUUGUAAAGGCCAGGGAACUAGCUACGAUUCUCUCAGCGGGAAGAGUUUUAUGGAAGAAAAUUGAUUCUUGCUGAUAGAGAAGAAGUGGAACAAGAAGCAGAUAAUAUUUUAAAGGAUGCUGAUAUCAGUGAUGUUGCAUUCCUUGUGGUUGGUGAUCCAUUUGGGGCUACAACACACAGUGAUCUUGUUCUAAGAGCAACAAAGCUGGGAAUUCCUCAUAGAGUUAUUCACAAUGCCUCCAUAAUGAAUGCUGUAGGCUGCUGUGGUUUACAGACUGGUUAAAACUAAACCUGGGUGACCCUGUCCUUCUGAUCCUCCACACUGAUAGUUAGUUAUAUAAGUUUGGAGAGACCGUUUCUAUUGUUUUUUGGACAGACACUUGGAGACCAGAAAGCUUCUUUGACAAAGUGAAGAAGAACAGACAAAAUGGCAUGCACACAUUAUGUUUACUAGACAUCAAAGUAAAGGAGCAGUCUUUGGAAAAUCUAAUCAAGGGAAGGAAGAUCUAUGAACCUCCACGGUAUAUGAGUGUAAACCAGGCAGCCCAGCAGCUUCUGGAGAUUGUUCAAAAUCAAAGAAUACGAGGAGAAGAACCAGCAAUUACCGAGGAGACACUUUGCGUUGGCUUAGCCAGGGUUGGAGCCGACGACCAGAAAAUUGCAGCAGGCACUUUACAGCAAAUGUGUACUGUGGACUUGGGAGAACCAUUGCAUUCCUUGAUCAUCACAGGAGGCAGCAUACAUCCAAUGGAGAUGGAGAUGCUAAGUCUGUUUUCCAUACCAGAAAAUAGCUCAGAAUCUCAAAGCAUCAAUGGACUUUGAACAUAGAUAUUUACU
rnacentral:sRNA from 1 species